GAGAUAACUCCUACGGGAGGCAGCAGUGGGGAAUUUUGGACAAUGGGGGCAACCCUGAUCCAGCAAUGCUGCGUGAGUGAAGAAGGCCUUCGGGUUGUAAAGCUCUUUUGUCAGGGAAGAAACGGUAGUAGCUAAUAUCUAUUACUAAUGACGGUACCUGAAGAAUAAGCACCGGCUAACUACGUGCCAGCAGCCGCGGUAAUACGUAGGGUGCAAGCGUUAAUCGGAAUUACUGGGCGUAAAGCGUGCGCAGGCGGUUGUGUAAGUCAGAUGUGAAAUCCCCGGGCUCAACCUGGGAAUUGCAUUUGAGACUGCACGGCUAGAGUGUGUCAGAGGGGAGUGGAAUUCCUCGUGUAGCAGUGAAAUGCGUAGAUAUGUGGAGGAAUACCGGUGGCGAAGGCGGCCCCCUGGGAUAACACUGACGCUCAGGCACGAAAGCGUGGGGAGCAAACAGGAUUAGAUACCCGAGUAGUCCUCCACU
rnacentral:rRNA from 1 species